rnacentral:rRNA from 1 species
CCUACGGGUGGCUGCAGUCGAGAAUCUUCGGCAAUGGGCGAAAGCCUGACCGAGCGACGCCGCGUGCGGGAUGAAGGCCUUCGGGUUGUAAACCGCUGUCAGUGGGGAGGAAGGCUCCGUGCAGAGCGGGGUUUGACCUAUCCGCAGAGGAAGCAAGGGCUAAGUUCGUGCCAGCAGCCGCGGUAAGACGAACCUUGCAAACGUUAUUCGGAAUCACUGGGCUUAAAGGGUGCGUAGGCGGUGCGGAAAGUUGGGUGUGAAAUCCCUCAGCUUAACUGAGGAACUGCGCUCAAAACUACCGUGCUCGAGGGAGAUAGAGGUGAGCGGAACUUAGGGUGGAGCGGUGAAAUGCGUUGAUAUCCUAAGGAACACCGGUGGCGAAAGCGGCUCACUGGAUCUCUUCUGACGCUGAGGCACGAAAGCUAGGGGAGCAAACGGGAUUAGAUACCCUAGUAGUC